rnacentral:rRNA from 1 species
GAUGAACGCUAGCUACAGGCUUAACACAUGCAAGUCGAGGGGAAACGACAUCGAAAGCUUGCUUUUGAUGGGCGUCGACCGGCGCACGGGUGAGUAACGCGUAUCCAACCUGCCCAUCACUUGGGAAUAACCUUGCGAAAGUAAGACUAAUACCCAAUGACAUCCCACGAAGACAUCUGAAUGGGAUUAAAGAUUUAUCGGUGAUGGAUGGGGAUGCGUCUGAUUAGCUUGUUGGCGGGGUAACGGCCCACCAAGGCAACGAUCAGUAGGGGUUCUGAGAGGAAGGUCCCCCACAUUGGAACUGAGACACGGUCCAAACGCCUACGGGAGGCAGCGGUGAGGAAUAUUGGUCAAUGGGCGAGAGCCUGAACCAGCCAAGUAGCGUGCAGGAUGACGGCCCUAUGGGUUGUAAACUGCUUUUAUAAGGGAAUAAAGUGGGUCUCGUGAGACUUUUUGCAUGUACCUUAUGAAUAAGGACCGGCUAAUUCCGUG